GCCAUCUUUGACUCUGGCAGUCUUGGAUUUCUGCUGGUGUUGCUGCUGAGAAGACGGCGGGCGGCAGCGGCUAAGAAAGAAGAAAGACGUGGCAGCAAGCGGGAGUCGGGGAUAGUGUCGACGGUUCGGUAAAGUUUCUGUUCUCUGAUUUGGGGAUAUUCCCUGCCCAAAAAUUUCCUGGAAAAUUGACUAGUAUUAAGUGUGAGUAAAAGGUGUCCACUUUUUUUAAAGUUUUGAUUUUAGUUUUGUCUUGGAUAGUAUUUGGCAAGAUUUAGCCUAGAAAUUAUGUAGUAUUUAUUACAUGAGAAUCAAAUUGCUUUGUUACUGGGCUGGUUUCAAAAUCUAGAACUCAUUUCUAUGUAUCAAAAUCGCUCUUCAUUUUUGUUUUUUU
rnacentral:lncRNA from 1 species